UCCUCUAAUCGAAUAUGUUUUCCGAAAAGCUUUGCAACUUUGAAAUUUUUGUUUUGUAAUGAUUUCGUUGGUUUCAAAACGUCGAUGGCACGUAAUGCAGAUAUGCAUAGGACAAGAAUCUCAGGAUUACUGUUUUGAACAACUUUUUUAGUAAAACCGGGAAGAUGUUGAAUGUAUUCUGGAUAAUUGUCUACUGUUUUAGGUUUGCUGAAGCUGAUCGUAUCUUCAAUGUAAGAUGCUUAUAGUGAGUUAGUAAAGUGAAGUAAAAAAAAAAAGAAUAAUAAGCAAUUAUACCUUUAAUCACUUUAUCUGACAAUUCUACAUCGGUAAGAUCACUAUAAAUGCUUUUUAUGUAAUUAUUUAACAAAUCGGACAGCGUGUCUGGACUCUGGAUGAUUGAAGCGUUUGUGUCUUGUAGUUCUAACAAUUUAGCUCUUUUCCUUUCCUUUUGUUUUUGGCGUUGUUUUUUUCUUUUUUCACGUUUCGCUGAAUCGUUGUUUUGAGAAGCAGUAAAAUUUUCAGUUAUUGUAGUAGGUUGUGCAGAUUCUUCAUCCGAAACUGAAAUUUCUGAAACUAAAUCUACCUGAUAAUCAAGUUGAUCAUCCAAAGCAUCAGCGUCUGUUGUCGUGUAGCUCAUAAUUGCAUGUUUUAAAAUUUUGGUGUUAGGGAUACGUUCAGUUCGUGGACCGUCGAAUAGUACAGGAAAAAUGUAAAAAAAAAUAUAAAUCUAUCGUUUACAAAAAUAUAGAGUAUUUGAAGGUCUAUAUAGAAGAAAAAAAAAUAAAAGGAAUUCAUUUGGUUUAUAAAAUCGUAGAUAAUUUCCAUUAUUACGUUAUGAAGGUUGUCUAAACUAUGGAUUAAAAUUGUGAACGGAAUUGACAGUAAAGAAAAGAAUGAAUUUGUAGACAAACAAAAGUUUAGGAUAAAAACAA